UGAGACCUUUAAGUCAAGUCAUUUUUUACACAUAAACUUUAUCACUUCACUUCACGACACUUAAAUUGUUUUGAUAGUAUUUUUAAUGUAUUUGUAUAUGGGUUUAUAACUGUUCUUGUCUUUUAAUAACUGAUCAAGUGGCGGCGGGCGGGAUGAAGAAUCAAACUUAAUUUUCAGUUCACACAGUUCACUAGCCAACACUAGUCUGUCAAGUAGGAAGGUUUGGCAGUCAAAAAUAAGAUGCUCCAUGGUUCCUUCUUGUGAUUCACAAUGGGGGCACGUAUUACUCGUAAUAAUCCCAAGUCUAGCAAGGUGUGACGGUGCAGUAUUAUGGCCAAAGCGCAAUCUAUUUAACGUAGUGAUAAAGUCUCGGCUAGCUUCUUUCAGUCUAUUGUACCAGGGUCUAACAGGAAAUCAGUCAUCGGAAUUUCCAUUGCAUUUCUAACAUCAACAGCAUUAUUACCAUCAUAUGCGAUUUUAUCAGCUAUUUCAUUGCCAGAGAUGCCUCGGUGAGAUGGUACCCACAGGAGCGCAAUUUCGAUAUGCUUAAGGUCAAAGAUUAAAGAAGUGAAGCUGUCAGCACAACUUCGUCCUCGACGAAAUCCAUAUUGAACAUGUGGAAUGAUGCUGUUAGAUUCCAUAUACCAAUCUAAACGAUUUUUGAUCAUGUUUUCAAAUAUUUUCCCUAGACAUGAGGAGAGUGAUAUUGGUCUAUAAGAGCUGGCCAACUUUGCAGGUUUAUCUGGUUUGAGUAUUGGAAUGACACAUUGUGUUUUCCAUGACUGUGGAAUACGUUUACAAUGCCAAAGGAGAUUAAGAACAUUAAGAAAUAUUUUUUGCGCAGAUUCAUCUAAAUUUUUAAUAAUACAAUAUGGAAAAUCAUCUAAACCAGGUGUAGUGUCUCUCCGAGAUAUCAAACUCAUGUUAAAUUCUGACCAUGUAAAAGGAUGUAAUAAAAUUUUGAAUUUAGAUUGUCAUUGUUUAAUUCAAAAAUACUGCCUAAAUUAUCAGAAUCUUUUAAAUUACUAUUAUCUGAUAAUUUAUCUAGAAAUGGAGAAACAAACUCAUCACUGUAUGAUUUGUUGCCAGUUCUUAUACCUUUAAACAUUUUAAGAUGAUUCCAAAUCUUACUUAUAGGUGUAGUUCUAUUAAAAGUGUUACAUAAGUUAUCCCAACCUAUUCCUCUUUGUUCCGAUAUAGUUCUUUUCUUAAGCGCAUCUUUUCUUUUGUAAUCUAAAUAAUUCUCCAUAGUAGACUCACUUCUAUAAAGUUUUAAUGCAUUAUAAGAGGCAAUUACACUUUUUUCAAAUGUCAUUCCACCAAGGAGCUGGAGGCCUGCUUUUAAAAUUAUUUAAUUUAGUGAGUUUAGGAAUUGUCAUCUCUUUUAAAGUAUCUAAUCGAGAACAAAAAUCAUUAUAGGUUGAAAUAGGAUCAUACAAUUUUAGGGCUAAAUCAUUGAAUAUUGUUUUGGAAAUAGUUUUAUACUUUAUCCAAUCUGCUUUUUUAUAUAUAAAUCUAUCAACUGGGGGAUUAAUUUGAUAUUUAUCUAUUUGUAGAGUAAUCUCUGUUAUUGUUGGAUAGUGAUAACUACCCAUGGCAUCAUCAUGCACAGACCACUCGCAUAUUGAUGCGAGGUUAGCACUAACAAAGCUAACAUCAAUUGCAGAUGGAUUUCGUCUCGGGUUAUUAACAGUUGUAAAACUACCAUCAUUCAAAAUACAUAAAUCCAAGUCAUCAAUGAUAUUAAAUAAAUCCUGACCUCUGCUCUUAGUGGAUAGACAACCAAAUGCAAUGUGAUGCGCAUUAAAAUCACCGCUGAUAAAGAUGGGCUUUGGAAGAUCAUUAAUUAUAUUACGCAGUCUGUUGAUUCGUAGGUGUCCACUAGAAGGAGGACAGUAUACACAAAGAAUAGUUAAGCUACCAUGCACAGUAGAUAAGGACAAAGCAACAGUUUGUAUGUCUUCAUAAAAUCUAGUGUUUAAAACUGUGUACUUUAAGUAUGGCUUAAUUAGUAUUGCUACACCAUUAUGAGCGUUAUUGGAAUUUUGAUUAUAAAUAUUAUAUCCAGGUAUUCUAAAAUUAUGAUCUUUAAACCAUGUUUCGUUAAGUAAGCAAAUGUCAAUAUUUUGUUUUUCUAAGAAUUGAAUUAAUAAGGGUUUCUUACUAUUGGCACUCUGUAUGUUAUACUGAGCAAUACGUAGCUUAGAUAUUGUGUGACUUGGAUCCAUUACUUUAGAUUUUUAAGUAAAGUUUCUUUAAUACUGUUUAUGGUAGUAGGCGUAUUAUCUCCCUUAUUACCUAGUUCCACCAAUGUUUGCACCAGGGCCAUGAGUACAUCAUUGCUGGCAACUAUUUGUGCUUUGAUGUCCACCUUAGGGACUUCCUUGGGUUUAUUUACAUUAUGUACAGUAUUAUUUACAACAGGCUUAUUUACAGAAGUAUGUACAGACUUAUUUACAGAUGUAUGUACAGACUUAUUUACAGUUUUAUUUACAUUAUUAUCAACUAGUUUCAUUUUUGGAGGUGAAAGAGGUGGAAAUUGUGAAAUAUCAGUCAUUUGUUGUUUUGUCAUUGUUGCACUUGCGUAAGUAAUUUUAUUUUUCUUUUCUAAAAUUUUGUUUAAUUUAAUUGGACACAAUCUAGAUAUUGCCAGAUGAGGCCCACUGCAAUUGACACAGCAGAUCUCUGUUGGUUUGUCACAUACUUUAUAUAAAUGCUCACCUCCACAAAUGGAACAUCUUUGUUUACCAUUGCAUAUUCUAGCAGAAUGGUUAAAUUUGAAGCAACGGAAACAUUGCUGCAAUGGGGGGACAUAUUCAAAUACUCGGUAUGAAAAUAAAUCAUAUUGUACAUUGUCUGGAAGAAUAUUUGAUAGAAAAGUUAUGCUAACUGUUUGUAGUGGUACUCGCUCUUGUCCAACUUUCUUUGUGAAUCUUCUUACAGCUAUUAUUUCAUAGAUUGAAGACAGUUUUGUAUAUAAUUCUUUGUUAGAGAUGUUUGCUGGUACAAAUCUGAUUAUACCUGUUUUUUCUAUUUGCGCAGCCGGAAUAAAUGCUUUCAAAUCAUGUUUGUUAAGAAAAGCAGUAUUAUUAAUAAAAUUAUUAGCAGUAUUAUAUUGCUUGAAUA